rnacentral:lncRNA from 1 species
CCCAACGAACCGCAAACCACAAAUCAAGUCACACCCACCUCAGCAUUAGAAGUGCACACCCGCCUAUCGAAUGUCGGAUGAUGAUAAGGCAACAAGUAGGUCUAGAGAAAUGAAAGCUAGUAGGUCUACUGCACCCAUGCAUGGAUGGAAAGAAUCAAUGGACCUGUGGAUAUAGGAUCCGGCCUCCUCAAGGGUCCUCGCGCAUUUACUAAAGAGCCAAGGGGUCUAGUAUGUAAGAAUCAAUGCCAGUCUCAAGUCAAGCACACUGAUGCCGGUUCCUGGCAUCUGGAAUGCCAGAAGGGUCGGAGGAACUUGCACACACAGAACGUACACGUCGUGUCACUGACAGCCCACUCGAGUCUCGUAAACAGAAAACAUAGUGCCCGCUCCUGCAGCGAGCCAAGAUACGGUAACCUCGAUACUUCUUUGUGUGUCACCGCGGUACGCGCACACACACGGAUCCACGGGCUUCCUCUCCGCACUCCUUCUGUCACACCCGUGCGAUAGAUCGUUUCGGACGUCACCUCUCCUCCGUCCCAUUACGAACCUGUAGCCCCAGGCAGCCCUGCGUCCAUUGGCACAGCGCCCCUCGCCACCUGCCACCCUCCCGCUCAGCAAAUAAACGCACGCGCGAGAGCAAAACACCAGCAGGUCCAUAGUAUGGCCAAGGGAGGCUGCCGGUUCCCCGGUCCCAUACAGUCACACAUACAUCUUAUUAAGAAACAUCAGCAGGGUUUAGUUGGCAAGUCUCAGUAGAGAAAUAGACAUCCAUACAUCACCCAAUGCGCGUGGCAAUAUCGCACUGAGUGCUUGCUUGCGCUAGCAAUCCAGCAUCAAGUACGGCCUUUGACACUCCCGCUCGCUCACAUACGGUGAAAUAUCAGUACAGCACGGCAACACUUGCGCGAAUCAGUCCUGACUCCUGCGGUAAACGCCGACUACCGUAGCACGCCCUGCUGUCGUGCUGACAAUGAGAAAUGUGCGGCGGCACAGCCCUGCUGGUUCACUUGAUAGUGGGCCCGAUCAGUAGCUAGUAGCGGCGAUUUGCCUAGCUGUCUAUACUUGCACGCAUACGCUGCGGGUGUGCCUCACAUACCAUAAUACCCAGUGCUGCUUCUUUCGCAUAUAACACACGCUCAGCAUGCCCUGCUGGCUCACUUCGAUACUGUGCCAUCCACACACGUACGUGUGACGAGCCCCUCUUGCGAACGGCCGCCGGCACCACAGCUGCGGCGGCUGCGGCUGCUGCUGCUCCUGCUGCUGCUACUGCUACUGCUGCAUCUUCAAAUGGCGAGGGCAGCAAGCCGCUGGCUGCAGGGCUCAUGCAGCUGACGGCGUAACACGGAAGCCAAACGGAACGGAGCGGCCCUUGCCGCUACCAGGCCGCCACCGCUGCCGGUGGCGGGAAGCAGCCGCACGCGCGCUCCAACGCGGCAAACUCCUCCAGCUCCCGCUCCUGCUCAGCCCACGCCGCCGCCGCCAGCUCCAUCGCCAGGCGCAGGCGCGAGGGCAUCACAGCUGACUGCCACUCAUCACCCUGCUGCACCGCCGCGAUCGGCGGAACGACACAGCUGCCCAUGCUGCUGCCGGCGGCGGUGCAGGCCUCCUUGUCAGCGCUAUGCUCCUCCACUGCCGCCUCCACCAACUCCACCUGCUGCGGCGUCUCACUGCCUGCCGCCGCCGCCACCCAGACCAGACUGCAGCUGCUGGCGCUGCGGCUGGUGCGGGCGCUGUCCGGCACGGCGCAGCAGCACGAGCUGAGCGGCGAGUCAGGCGCGUCCAGCCGCUCAGUGACGACGGCCACCUCCUGCGCCGCUUCGGCCGCCGCCGGCACGCACUCGCCCUGGGCCUCUGCUUUCCCCAUCGCCGCCAGCUCCGCCGCCAUCCAGGGCGACAGCGAGGCGAGGUAGGCGCCGAAAUCGCCGGCCUCCUCCGCCUCAACGUCAUCCGCCCAGCGGCGGCCGUUGGGGAUGCCGCCGGUGCCGCUGGCAGCUGCCGCCGCCGCCUGCUCCGCCAGGCCCUCCUUCAGCCAAUCUGCGAGCGACCCGAGGUCGAGCUCCUCCUCCGCCUCCUCAUGCGCCUCAACCUCAUCCGCCCAGCUACCGCUCGCGCCACCGCUGCUGCUAAUGCUGGCGCGAGGAGCAAUGCUGCUGCUGCUGCUGCUGCUGCUGCUGCCGUCAGACUCUGACGCUGCCGCGGGCACGGCCGGUGCGGCUUCCGCCUGCUGCUGCUCGGCCGCCGCGAGCUCCGCCAGUCCCUGCUUCACCCAGGGCGUCUGCUCAAAGAGGUCGCUCAGGUCGAGUCCGUCAGCCUCAUCCUCAUCAUCAUCGCCCCAUCGCGGCGUGGUCGAGCUGCGGUCGACGGUGGAGGUGGAGAUGGGGCUUGCAGCGGCGGCGGGCUUGGUCGGGGCGGCGGGCUUGGUCGGAGCCGCGAGCUUGGGCACCUUGGGCAGGCCGGGCGGCUUCUGCGGGCGCCAGUGGUUGUCGUAGGCAUGGCAAAGCUGGCAAGGGGCGCUCCUGCAGCCAGCAGAUAGGCUGGCAUAGCACCAGCGCAUGCAGGACUUGUGAGGAAAGCAGCAGGCGCUGGGGGCGGGCUCCUGCUGCUCCUGCUGGUGGGCGGCGGCGGAGGGCUCGCUCUCAUCAGAGCCGUGGCCUUGGCUGCGGGGCGUGUGGCGCCAGGCGUCCUGUGCAAACGAGAUCGGGGGAAAAGGAUAGAUGGGGGCGGACAAGCCGUGAGUGCACGGGACGAGGACAAGGGUCGGGGCGCAGAGGGCGGGAGAAAGGGCCGGGGGUCGGGGGCUCGGGCCCCGGCAAAAAAGUCAGGCGCACCGGAAAGGCACGCGCUUUCGGUCAAAGCUGUUGACCGACGCAUUUUACGAGACAAUACAUGCAGCAAUAUGCAGCCAGUGUGGCCGCAGCAGCGCAAGAAGGAACGCCGAGGAAGCUGAGCGCACUACUGGCCCGAAAUCUGCAACGCUAUCUAGCCCGCAUCAGAAGCCUAAUGCUUUGCAUGUGGCAUCGGAUACCCAUUGCAGCUGCUCAAGGCUCAAAAUGGCCGUGCCCGAACAUGAAUGGUGCUCACCUGCAUCGGUCGGCUCGGCUCGAAGUCAAGCCCCGGUGCACUUGCGAUUGACCGUGAUGUGGCCAUAGUAGCUCUCGACCGCACCAAGCACUCUUCGCGCGCAGAACUCGAUUCUGCUGCUAGCGCAAUUCUUUCGCUUGACGGAAACUUUUCCUCGCGGUGCCCGGGAGGGAUUCGCGCUAGGAGCUGCUAGCUCGUGACAGUGGUGGUGCUUGCCGCAGCUUUCAUGCGCAUGCGGUGGAAAUCGAGAGAGGUCGCGAACAGCCCUAGAAAUGCUCUUCUUUGCCGUCAGGUGCUCGUAGCUAAGCAGUGGGCGUAAAAGCUGUUUGUGAGAUGUCUUUGCAUCUGUUGAAUGUGCAAUAUGAGCACAGCGCGAAGCUUUUAUCCAGUGGCGGGGACAGGGUCUCGGGCGCCCAUGCAGGCGACACGCGCCCAAUCCCGAGCCUCCCACUCCUCGCCUGUACCUUGUCCCUGGACCCGCGCCAUCCGUGUCCCGCUGUUCAAUUCCCGCGUUUCAUACCAGCUCCCCUCCCCUGCGUAGGCCGGUAACCCCUGAUCCCGCCGCUGCCGGGGAUGCAGCCGUGCAGGAUGAGGUUGACGGCUGGGGAAGUUGUUGUGGGGAAGUUGGUGUAGGUUGGCGGUGAUCCAGCGGGGUGGGUGCCGAUGUGCUAUAGCGGGCGCGAGGCUGUACACGUCAGGAUCUGGCGAGUGUACUGCUCAAGCUGGCUUUGUGAUGGCCCCCAAGCGUAGGUGAGGUAGGCGCACGGCGGUGACAAGGCAUGCGGCCAGUGGAACUGCCUUACAGUUACAGCCCGCCCAAGCGCGGUUGUUGCCCUGCCAUGAUUUCCGUGCAGUCUGCUAGCUUCGGCAGGGACGGUGCCCAUCAGUUCCCGAUGUUGACAAACCAUGCAUCCAGCCGCCCACACGUGCUCUUCGUUCGUCACAUACCGUACUCGAACUCCAAUGUCCACAGAGCGUGUGCGCGAAAUCCACACGCCACACACGCAAGUGACAGCCGCCCGUCCUUGCACAGCAAGCAUCUCCGCGCACGGUCGCACGCUUCUCUAGCCCCAACGAACCGCAAACCACAAAUCAAGUCACACCCACCUCAGCAUUAGAAGUGCACACCCGCCUAUCGAAUGUCGGAUGAUGAUAAGGCAACAAGUAGGUCUAGAGAAAUGAAAGCUAGUAGGUCUACUGCACCCAUGCAUGGAUGGAAAGAAUCAAUGGACCUGUGGAUAUAGGAUCCGGCCUUCUCAAGGGUCCUCGCGCAUUUACUAAAGAGCCAAGGGGUCUAGUAUGUAAGAAUCAAUGCCAGUCUCAAGUCAAGCACACUGCUG